CGUGCGCGGGGCUGCGCGCCCAGCCGGGGCGGCGCCGCCAUCUGCUGGUCCGCGCCGAAACGCCGGGCGGGCUCCGGCACACAUGGACACGGACACGGGCAUCGCGCCCCGCGGGAGCCGCGGCGGGGACGGGUCUCCCGGCGGCGGCAGAACCCGCCGCUUGCGAAGUUUCACGCAGAGCUCCGGGGAGAGGCUUUCCGAGAGCGCCCGUACGAGAGUCUCGCAGCCCCUCGGGGCGGGUGCGCUGCAGGGCGAGCGCUCACCGCUGCCCCUUUGGACACGGGCGAUGGCCCCUGGUUUGGCCGUCCCUCCCAGGACGCUGCAGUGAAAAGAUCGGAAGGGGUCUGUGGUCAGCAGCGGGGAACCGAGGAACAAAUGAAGCAGGUGCAAAAACAGGAUUCAUGUGAUUAAGACAAGAAGCGCUUCCGUGGGGAAAAGGACCCUGUCCGUCCUUCUGCCCCUCAGCUCCUGGGAGGCACCAGGCUCGUCACACGCGUUGUCCGGAGCCAAUUGCUAAUCCAGUGUUGCCCACCGUGGGAACAUGUGGCUUGUAAUUUGGGAUUGAUCCAUAGCAGCAUCAGGAAAUGCUCACGGCAGAGGGGCAACGACUGGGGCUGUGCAGCGUAACUCAAAACUGACAGGUGAAGCAGUGGAAGAAGAUUUAGGCACCAUAGGGUACUCUUCCUGCUUCACUGCAGCGUGUCGUGUAACUGUGAAUAAAUUGGGACUUGUGAAGCAGUUUGCCUCAUAUGUGAAGAGGGCACAAGUUAGAAUCUCAGAAUAACUGAGGUUGGCAUGGACCUCUGGAGGACUCCUGGUCCAACCUGCUGCACAGUCCAGGGCAAACUCCAAAACUGAAUCUAAAUUCACAGUAAAAUAAAGUUGCUGAGACCUAAGUGUCAGAAAAACAAGUUUGAAAGACCACUGAGGAAAGUACUGACUCCAGGUACAGGCACCUAACAGAAGAGAUCCAAGCUGGGUAAAACCAAGUGAAAAAUACAGAGAAGGUGUUACCAGGAGUAAGAAGGAAGAAAGUGAAAAAGCAAGAGACCAUGCCUAGUCUCAGUCUGGCCAACCACCAUAUAAGUGAACACGACGCUGCAGUGGAAGGGAUUUCCUGCAGAAUGGAGUGAGUAACAGUGAAUAAAAUGAUACAAUUAAAUUAAAUGCAGCAAGCUUCGGCAAGCACAGUUCCUGAUCCUGCAAGAUGCCAAGUACUCUCAAGUCAAGAUAAGGUACUUAGAGCUCUACUCUGAACGAAACAAGCAUAAAAGACUAAGUACAGAACUCAUGAAUAUGGAACAGGCACCAAAGAAGAGCAUCUCUUGCCUUACCUACAGGACUUCUACUGAAUCACUGAAAUGGUCCAUUACCCAGGUCAUCACUGCAAUAUCAAUUUCCAUUUUUGACUCCCACAGCCCUGUGAAAAUCAAUGACUACACCAUUGGUGCAUAUUGGCUUUCAUGUACUUUGACGCUCCCGUUUCCCAAAACUGCUGAAGCCAGUAAUUGAUAUUACAGUAUGUUCUUUACAGGUUGCUUAAUAACAAAAUAUGUUUUUAAUGAGCCCAGUCAUACCCCAUUGUUUUAUUUAUUUUUUCAUAAAGCUACUUAAUGGUAAGGAAGUGACAGAGGAUAACUCCAUGGGCCACAUUCAAAGCAAUGCCUGUUUUCCCUAUUAGUUAAUCAGUCAGUGGAAGACAGAGGAAUUGCAAGCCAACACAUGGAGUGGUUGGUUAGCAACAGCACCUGGUUACCAGCACACCACUAUGCUAUUGUGUGUCAAAGCUUAGAACAGUACUCAUGUCUAACUGCAUAGGGAAAUUAAAUGUAUUGGACUCCUUUAGAAUCAAUUCAGAAGUCCUAAAACCAUCAAAAAUCUUGAGUCUUCUGACAAGUUUCACUGAAACUAGUUACACUACUUGUAAAAACACAGGAGUAAGGAGUUACCCUUGUAGAGUGGGCAUAUGUCAAGGGCACUAAGGUUAGUGUCUGUUCUCAAAUCCCAUUUUUAUCAAUACAAAUUUCAAUCAACUGAAGGACAGGCAUGUUGUCCUGGGUUUAGCUAGGGUAGAGUUAAUUACUUCUCAAUAGUUGUUACAGUGCAGUGUUUUGGAUUUGGAAUGAGAUUGGGGUUGAAAACACACUGAUGUUUUUGGUUUUUUGCUAAGUCAUGCUUAUCCUCAGUCAAGGACUUUUUCCUUGUCUCAUGCUCUGCCAGUGAGAAGAUAUAUAAAAGAAACUGGGAGGGAGCACAGCUGGGACAGGUGACCCGAACUGACCAAAGGGAUAGUCCACACCUUAGAAUGUCAUGCCUGGUAUAUAAACUGGGGGCACUUACCCAGAAGCAUGGCUGAUCUGGGUUUGGGAAGGGAGAUCUGACAUUGGUCAGUGGGUGGUGAGCAAUUCCAUUGUGCAUCUCUUGCUUUUCCCUUUUUAUUCUAAUUAUUAUCAUUAUCAUUUGCCAUUAUUACUGUAUUUUACUUUAUUUUCAAUUAUUAAACCGCUUUUAUCUGAA